UCGAGAAUUUUUCUCAAUGGGGGAAACCCUGAAGGAGCGACGCCGCGUGGAGGAUGAAGGCUUUCGGGUUGUAAACUCCUGUCAUUUGGGAACAAGGCGCCGAAGUUAACUGUUUCGGCGUUGAUAGUACCAGAAGAGGAAGAGACGGCUAACUCUGUGCCAGCAGCCGCGGUAAUACAGAGGUCUCGAGCGUUGUUCGGAUUCAUUGGGCGUAAAGGGUGCGUAGGUGGCGCCGUAAGUCGGAUGUGAAAUCCUGAGGCUUAACCUCGGAACUGCAUUCGAUACUGCGGCGCUUGAGGACUGGAGAGGAGACUGGAAUUCAUGGUGUAGCAGUGAAAUGCGUAGAGAUCAUGAGGAAGACCAGUGGCGAAGGCGGGUCUCUGGACAGUUCCUGACACUGAGGCACGAAGGCCAGGGGAGCAAACGGGAUUAGAUACCCCUGUAGUCC
rnacentral:rRNA from 1 species